rnacentral:rRNA from 1 species
AUAUUCUCUCUUGAGUGGAUCCUGAGUACGACGGAGCACGUGAAAUUCCGUCGGAAUCUGGGAGGACCAUCUCCUAAGGCUAAAUACUCUCUAGUGACCGAUAGUGAACCAGUACCGUGAGGGAAAGGUGAAAAGUACCCCGGAAGGGGAGUGAAAGAGAACUUGAAACCGUGUGCUUACAAGUAGUCAGAGCCCGUUAAUGGGUGAUGGCGUGCCUUUUGUAGAAUGAACCGGCGAGUUACGAUCUGAUGCAAGGUUAAGCAGAAAAUGUGGAGCCGUAGCGAAAGCGAGUCUGAAUAGGGCGUAUAGUAUUUGGUCGUAGACCCGAAACCAGGUGAUCUACCCAUGGUCAGGUUGAAGUUCAGGUAACACUGAAUGGAGGACCGAACCGACUUACGUUGAAAAGUGAGCGGAUGAACUGUGGGUAGCGGAGAAAUUCCAAUCGAACUUGGAGAUAGCUGGUUCUCUCCGAAAUAGCUUUAGGGCUAGCCUCAAGUGAUGAUUAUUGGAGGUAGAGCACUGUUUGGACGAGGGGCCCCUCUCGGGUUACCGAAUUCAGACAAACUCCGAAUGCCAAUUAAUUUAACUUGGGAGUCAGAACAUGGGUGAUAAGGUCCGUGUUCGAAAGGGAAACAGCCCAGACCACCAGCUAAGGUCCCAAAAUAUAUGUUAAGUGGAAAAGGAUGUGGCGUUGCCCAGACAACUAGGAUGUUGGCUUAGAAGCAGCCAUCAUUUAAAGAGUGCGUAAUAGCUCACUAGUCGAGUGACACUGCGCCGAAAAUGUACCGGGGCUAAACAUAUUACCGAAGCUGUGGAUUGUCCUUUGGACAAUGGUAGGAGAGCGUUCUAAGGGCGUCGAAGCAUGAUCGCAAGGACAUGUGGAGCGCUUAGAAGUGAGAAUGCCGGUGUGAGUAGCGAAAGACGGGUGAGAAUCCCGUCCACCGAUUGACUAAGGUUUCCAGAGGAAGGCUCGUCCGCUCUGGGUUAGUCGGGUCCUAAGCUGAGGCCGACAGGCGUAGGCGAUGGAUAACAGGUUGAUAUUCCUGUACCACCUA